CUCACAGUUUUGUAUCUGGGACCGCAAAACCUCCUGCACAAUUCGAAUACGGCUUGCUUGACUCCAUUUUGUUUAAAAGUUUAUAUUAAUUUCCAGAAGACAUUUUUUACAUCCCUAAAGUCACAAAUUCACUCGCUUUCACUUACAUCACCAUGGCCAGACCCACGCAACAGUGAAAUGCGAUACGCAUACUGAAGCAGAGUGUUCAACUCCGCGGAUAACCACUUGGAACAAUAGUGAGAUUUUGCCUUGCUACUUCAAGAACCCUUGCAAUAGCUGCAGCAGAGUCUUUGUCUUUUGGCUAAUUACAAGGAAUGGAUUCCUCAACUCUGCUAUUUAACCAGCUCAAGGCAGCAGAACCAUUUUUCUUAUUAGCAGGCCCCAAUGUGAUUGAAUCUGAGGAACACCUUCUUAGAAUGGCCAGCCACCUCAAGACGAUUGCAUCAAAACUUGGGUUGCCAUUGGUUUUUAAGUCAAGCUUUGACAAAGCUAACAGAACAUCCUCGAAGUCAUUCCGAGGUCCAGGCAUGAUUGAAGGCUUGAAGAUUCUUGAGAAAGUUAAAAUAGCAUAUGAUCUUCCUAUUGUUACUGAUGUGCACGAAACUAUUCAGUGUGAACCAGUUGGCAGAGUUGCAGAUAUCAUACAGAUUCCAGCAUUUUUAUGUCGUCAGACAGAUCUUCUAGUUUCAGCUGCCAAGACUGGGAAGAUUAUCAAUAUUAAAAAAGGCCAGUUUUGUGCUUCUUCUGUCAUGAUAAAUUCUGCUGAGAAAGUUAGAUUGGCUGGAAAUUCAAAUGUCAUGGUUUGUGAACGAGGAACUAUGUUUGGCUAUAAUGAUUUGAUCGUUGAUCCACGUAAUUUUGAGUGGAUGAGGGAAGCUGAUUGUCCUGUUGUAGCUGAUGUGACACAUUCACUACAACAGCCUGCUGGGAGAAAGUUGGAUGGUGGAGGUGUUGCUAGUGGAGGUCUCCGUGAAUUAAUACCAUGCAUUGCAAGGACAGCAGUAGCUGUUGGAGUGGAUGGAAUUUUCAUGGAGGUGCAUGAUGAUCCUUUGAAUGCCCCUGUGGAUGGUCCAACGCAAUGGCCUCUGCGGAAUUUGGAGGAACUGCUAGAAGAGCUCAUGGCAAUAGCUAGGGUCAGUAAGGGGAAGAGACGAAUGGAGAUUGAUCUCACACCCUUCCGUGAAUAGAAAAGCUUGAAGGCCUCUCUGAAGGAGUAAGCAAGAGACAAUUAUUGGAUUCGACAGAAGUAUCAAAUUCGGCUGAUCAUUUGGUCGGUCCUCCCGAGGAUGCUUUCUCCCCUUUCUUCCUUCAUCACUUUGAGAACCACAGCUCUGUCGUUGUAAUGCCUGAGAUGGUGCCAAACAACUUUCCAUCCUGGCUAAGAUCUUUCCAUCUGGAUUUUUAGAUGGCACUGUUCCUAAACCUUCACCGGUGGAUCCUCUGUACCUGCCAUGGACAAGAUGCAAUAAUUUCAUUGUUGCGUGGCUUCUUUGAUCAAUUUUUCCUUCAAUAGCCUCAAUUGUUUUUUAUCUGAAAGAUACAAACUAAAUUUGGUACAAGUUGCAUAAAAAGUUUUCUCAGCCAGAUGACUCGCGAAUUUGUCACCUGUAAAAUCUGGACUGUACUAUCACAGUCACUUAAGGUACAAAAUCUGUAGAUGCCUAUUUUACCGAGUUAAACGGAAUAUGGGAAGAACAUAGGGUCUAUAGGCCUCUUCCUUCUUGUUGUUGUGGAAAGUGUAACAGUGAAUAUUUUCAAAAGUAUAUUGAGGUCUUGCAAAAGGAUUGUGUAUUCAGGUUCUUGAAUGGCUUAAAUAAAACAUAUCCAGGCCUUAGAUCACAACUUAUUAAUAUGGAGCCCUUUCCCUCACUUGAUCAAGUUUACAAUAUGGUAUUGAGAGAAGAAAUAAAAAGAUCUAUCUUACUGCUGACUCAAUCUUUCACAGAAUCUAGUGCUGUGGCUAUCAAGAAAGGCAAAAGUGAUCUAGUUUGUUUUCACUAUGGUAAGCCAGGGCACGUUAAGGCACAAUGCUACAGGUUUGUAGGUUUUCCGCUAGAUUUUAAGUUUACAAAAUCCAAAACCAUCAGCAAUAUGAAUUCAAGGCAAGCUUCUGUUCAACAAGUUUUUGGUGGAUGUUCUUCUAAUUCAGCUGAAGGAUUCUCUCAUAUUGGUCUCUUUAAGGAACAAAUUUAGUAACUCAUGAAUCUUCUUAAUGACAAUACUGCAACCACGAUGCAAUCAAGUACAGGACCUAUUAAUUCUGUUUAGUUCAAACCUCAUAUCUGCACAAGUUAACAUUGCAGGUAUAAAUGCUAUAUCUCAGUACUCUUCUUAUUUUAGUACAGAGAUUUCUAUUUAUAGAGAUUUCUAUUGAUUGUAACAUAGAUGUGGGUGCCACUGAUCAUAUCUCAUGUAAUUCAACUUUAUUCACUGAUCUCAAGUGUGUGGUUAAGUCUUUUGUUUUUUGGCCAAAUGGACAAAAGGGUCAAGUUAUAGGAGUUGAGACAGUACACCUCAGUCAUUCACUUGUUCUUCAUAAUGUGUUAUUUAUUUCGGAAUUUAGUUUUAACCUGAUGUCUGUAAGCAAGUUGAUUGAUACUGAAAAAAUCUGUCAGUUUCAUGGCUAAUAAUUGUAUCAUUCAGAACCUUUUUUCAUGGAAGAAGAUUGGACUGGCUAAGCAGGAAGGUGGAUUGUUCAUCCUAAAGGCUAAGUCCAUAUGUCUCUCUUCAAUUGCUGUCCUUACACAAUCUUAUAAAGAUUUUUUCUUUUUAUAUUUGGCAUCAUAGGCUAGGACAUCCCUAUGAUGGAAGGAUGCUUUCUUUACGGUCACAAUUAAAGCUUCUUUCUAAUAAGACUUGUCCAUGUGAUGCCUGUUCAAGAGCUAACCAAAGGAGGUUGCCUUUUCUUGAACAUGUCUGUGCCACUACUUCUACUUUUGAAUUGGUUCACAUGGAUGUGUGGGGACCCUAUUCUCAAUGUGAUAUCAAUAAAAAUCACUAAAUCACUACUUUCUCACUGUAGUAGAUGAUUUCUCCAAAUUUGUAUGGACUUUUCUUAUGAAAUCAAAAUCAGAGUUUUAUUUCUUGUGCCUCGGUUCUAUGCAUAUGUUAAUACUCAGUUUCACACAUCUAUCAAGUAAAUAAGGACUGAUAAUGGCAGUGAAUUCUUUCUUCCUUCUUUUUUUGCUUUUAGUGGUAUCAUGCAUCAAAUACGUUGCAUUUAUACCCUUCAGCAGAAUGAGGUGGUUGAAAGAAAACAUCAACAUUUGUUAAAUGUUUCCCAAGCUCUUUUAUUUCAAUCUCGACUUCCUGUAUCUUUUUAAGGUUGUGCAGUCCUGGCAAGCACAUUCUUAAUCAAUAGAAUUCCUCUAGUCAAGCUCAAUGACAAGUCUCCUUAUGAAGUGCUCUUUCACAAAGCUCCUGCUUAUUGACAUCUGAAAUCUUUUGGCUGCUUAUGUUAUGCUUCCAAUUUGAUAGCUCACAGAACUAAAUUUUAGUCUAGAUUUCGAAAAUGUGUCUUUAUUGGGUAUGCAGUAGGAGUGAAGGGUUACAAGUUAUAUGACUUGGACACAAAUUCUUACUUUUAUCUCCCGGGAUGUCUUAUUUCAUGAAACAGUUUUUCCCUUUCAGAACAUCUCCUCACCACUUAAUUCAAGUUCUCUUGAUGUUCCUAACAUGGUGUUACUUACAGUUCCUGAUCCAAGUGUGUUCCCUGAGAUUCCAAAUAGUAAUGUGCCCAUUUCAUCCUCUCUAUCUCCAGUUAGAUAUGAAACUCCAGUCUCUCUUGCACCUUCUCCUGCUUUCACUCUCCCUGAUUCAUCUCCACCCCCUGUCCAAAGGAAAAGCACUAGACACACUAAACUACCAAACUGUCUUCAUGACUACCAUAUCUUACUUCAGACUUCAUCUCAGUCGUUCCUUCCUAGUUCAGUUUGUACUUACUCGAUACAGAAUCACCUCUCCUAUGAUAGGCUAUCAUCCUCCUAUAGAUCCUUCAUUUUAAAUAUGUCUGCCACUUGUGAACCUCACACUUAUGAUCAAACUAUUAAAUUUGAUCAUUGGAAGCAGGCCACGAGGGAAGAAAUUCAAGCUCUAGAGGCAAAUCACACUUAGAUUCUCACACCAUUGCCUACAAGAGCCAAGUCUGUAGGAUGUAAAUAGGUAUACAGAGUGAAAUUUAACUCUGAUGGUUCUAUUGAUAGGUAUAAAGCCAGGUUGGUGGCUAAAGGAUAUACUGAGAGGCCUGGUUUUGACUUCCAAGAGACAUUAAGUCCAGUUGCUAUGCAGACCACAGUAAGAACUUUCCUAGCACUUGCUGCUAUAUAUGGUUGGUUUUUAAUCUCAAUUAGACAUCAAUAAUGCAUUCCUCAAUGGUGAUCUACAUGAAGACGUUUUUAUGGAUAUUCCUUUGGGUUAUGAGGGCAAGGGGGAGUAUGGGAAUCAAUAAAAGCUUGUUUGUAAACUUCAAAAGUCUUUGUAUGGUUUAAAGUAAGCUUCAAGACAGUGGAAUCUAAACUUCAAUUAGGUUUUAUUCUGUCUAAAUGUGAUUAUUCUCUCUUCACUAAGACUGAGAAUGAAGGAUUCAUAGCUGUUUUAGUUUAUGCGGAUGACAUUAUGAUUGACAGCAGUAACAAGAAGUUGAUUGAGAAAUUCAAAAGCUGUUUGCAGAAUCAUUUCAAGUUGAAAGACUUAGGCACUCUUCAAUACUUUUUAGGGCUUGAAGUAGCCAGAUCUGGCAAAGGGAUUGCAAUCUCUCAGAGAAAAUUUGUAUCGAAAUUCUUAGAAGAAUAUGGUUUGUUGGCUGCAAAACCAAGUUCAGUUCUCUUUGAAGUUAAUGCCAAGCUAAUGCACUUCACAGAAGACUUACUUUCUAAUCCUACUAUCUAUAGACAAUUAAUAGGCAAGCUCAUGUAUGUUCAGUUGACCAGGCCUAAUAUUCCCUACAGUGUACAUGUCCUUUCUCAAUUUAUGGACAAGCCAACUCAAACACAUCUCAAUGCAGCAUACAAGAUACUGAAAUACUUAAAAAAUGCUCCCCGGAUAAGGCUUGUUCUUAGCUGCAAGUUCAGAAUUAAAGUUAACUGCAUACUCAAAUAGUGUGACUGGGCUGGAUGUACAGAAACAAGGUCCACAACUGGUUUUUGUGUAUUUCUUUGGAAUUCCUUAAUCAGUUGGAAAUCGAAGAAACGAGCCACAGUCUCUAGAAGUUCUGCAGAAGCCGAGUACAGAUCGAUGCAGCAGUAACUUUUGAAGUACUUUGGUUAAUAUCCCUAUUAACAGAUUUCAAUGUUGUUGUACCUCAUCCUGUGAAGCUCCUUUUUGAAGUAUGUCAGCAAUUUAAAUCUCCAAGAACCCUGUUCUCCAUGAAAGAACUAAACAUAUUGAAUUGGAUUACCAUUUCAUUAGAGAGAAGGUGAUGCUUGGGGUCAUACAACUAGAAUACAUUGGCACUAAGGAGCAGACAACUGACUUAUUCACUAAAACACUGCAUCCGAGACAAUUUAACUAUCUUUUAAACAAGUUGAACAUAAACAAUAUAUAUGUCCAACUUGAGGGGAGUAACAAGAUGGUUUGUAUAGUAGAGCUGAGCUUAAUUAGCUGGUUGGUUAGCCCAACUUAUCCAGUUAAAGUAGAUAGUUGUCAUUACCAUGUAACACGUGAAUUGAGAAGGUUGAUACGCCUAUAUAUAAAGAUUACAGCCAUAUGAAUAAAAUACAGAUUCUCAUUUACGUAAAACUCCGGACAAUUUGAUAUAUUUAUGCUGUAUUAUUUAGUUG